UUUCCGUAGGUGAACCUGCGGAAGGAUCAUUAUUGUAUAACCGAGGUGCGAGGGUCGUCGCUGACCCGAAAGGUCAUGAACACCAAAGUAACAAUACACAAAUCUAUAUCACCCCUAUGUUCACCACGGCCUGGUUUCACCACUUGCUUGUAAGGCAGGGGGCUAACGUAUACAAACACACUUUGCAUGUAUUAACGAAAGUAUUUUAUGUUUUUGAGAUUCCCCUUUCAUUACACAUUUCAACAAGGGCUUUCUAGGCUCACGGCUCGAUAUAACACAAAACACGUCUCCCGAGUCCGAACAACCGAAAGCAACACUAUUGGAGAACGUUAGUGCGACAUUUCUCUCUUACCCUAAACGUCGUCCACGCACGACUGCUCCAACACCUAUCCAUCUCACUCCUAAGUGCACCACCGCGUGGUUCCCCCUUUGUCUUGUUCUGAGGGGGGCUUACCUUUUCACACAAACUUUGUAUGCAGUAUAGAAUGUAUUUUUUGUUUUUGCGUUCAAGCAAUCAAUACAACUUUCAACAACGGAUCUCUUGGCUCUC
rnacentral:misc_RNA from 1 species